rnacentral:rRNA from 1 species
UGGGGAAUAUUGCACAAUGGGGGAAACCCUGAUGCAGCGACGCCGCGUGAACGAAGACGGUAUUCGUAUCGUAAAGUUCUGUCCUAUGGGAAGAUAAUGACAGUACCAUAGAAGAAAGCUCCGGCUAAAUACGUGCCAGCAGCCGCGGUAAUACGUAUGGAGCGAGCGUUGUCCGGAAUUAUUGGGCGUAAAGGGUACGCAGGCGGUUUAAUAAGUCGAAUGUUAAAGAUCGGGGCUCAACCCCGCAAAGCAUUGGAAACUGAUAAACUUGAGUAGUGGAGAGGAAAGUGGAAUUCCUAGUGUAGUGGUGAUAUACGUAGAUAUUAGGAAGAAUACCAGUAGCGAAGGCGACUUUCUGGACACAAACUGACGCUGAGGUACGAAAGCGUGGGGAGCGAACAGG